GUAUUUUAUAAGUUUGAUAAGUAAAAUAAUAAGAAAAAUUUAAUAAGUGAUAAUAAAUAUUGCAGAUGGUAUAUAUCAGUUUAUUGAUCCAGAACAGAAGUUAUCGAAGUAUGCACCAAAGUGGUGGAAAGUACUUCGUAAUAAUGGAAUUGAUAAUAGAAAAAAUAUCUUGACUUUUCAUUUUCGUAUAGAAAUAUACGUUGAUUGUCAUUUACUAGUAAAUGAUAAAAUAGCAAGGCAUUAUUACUAUCUUCAAUUGCGUGAAAAUGUCAUUAAGUACAACCAAAGCAUAAAUGAAGAGAGAGCAUUUCUCUUAGCAGCUUAUGCUUUACAGGCAGAUUUUGGGAAUUAUAAUAAAAAUAUUCAUGUUGGAAGAUAUUUUGAACCACAAAAAUACUUUCCUCUUUCAAUAAUUUUGAGAGUAGGUGAAGCAUACAUAAUUAAAUAUGUGCCUGCUAUGCAUAAAGAUUAUACAGGUUUGAGUUGUGGAGAAGCUGAAAUUGGUUAUAUAAAAGAGGCAUCGAACCAUGUAUCAUGUCAUAAUCUUCAUUUUUAUA